UACGUAGGCAGCAAGCGUUGUUCGGAGUUACUGGGCGUAAAGGGUGUGUAGGCGGUCCUCUAAGUUUGGUGUGAAAUCUCCCGGCUCAACUGGGAGGGUGCGCCGAAAACUGGAGGGCUAGAGUACUGGAUGGGAGAGUGGAAUUCCUGGUGUAGCGGUGAAAUGCGUAGAUAUCAGGAGGAACACCUGUGGUGUAGACGGCUCUCUGGACAGUAACUGACGCUGAGACACGAAAGCGUGGGUAGCAAAC
rnacentral:rRNA from 1 species